UUGCUUUGGCAGCACAGGUACUAAAAUUGGAAUGAUACAGGGAAGGGAAGCAUGGCCCCUACGCAAGGAUGACAUGCAAAUUCAUGAAGCAUUCCAUAUUUUU